rnacentral:rRNA from 2 species
UGCAAGUCGAGCGGGCGAGGUUGCUUCGGUAACUGAGCUAGCGGCGGACGGGUGAGUAAUGCUUAGGAAUCUGCCUAUUAGUGGGGGACAACAUUCCGAAAGGAAUGCUAAUACCGCAUACGUCCUACGGGAGAAAGCAGGGGAUCUUCGGACCUUGCGCUAAUAGAUGAGCCUAAGUCAGAUUAGCUAGUUGGUGGGGUAAAGGCCUACCAAGGCGACGAUCUGUAGCGGGUCUGAGAGGAUGAUCCGCCACACUGGGACUGAGACACGGCCCAGACUCCUACGGGAGGCAGCAGUGGGGAAUAUUGGACAAUGGGCGCAAGCCUGAUCCAGCCAUGCCGCGUGUGUGAAGAAGGCCUUUUGGUUGUAAAGCACUUUAAGCGAGGAGGAGGCUACUUGGAUUAAUACUCUAGGAUAGUGGACGUUACUCGCAGAAUAAGCACCGGCUAACUCUGUGCCAGCAGCCGCGGUAAUACAGAGGGUGCGAGCGUUAAUCGGAUUUACUGGGCGUAAAGCGUGCGUAGGCGGCUUCUUAAGUCGGAUGUGAAAUCCCUGAGCUUAACUUAGGAAUUGCAUUCGAUACUGGGAAGCUAGAGUAUGGGAGAGGAUGGUAGAAUUCCAGGUGUAGCGGUGAAAUGCGUAGAGAUCUGGAGGAAUACCGAUGGCGAAGGCAGCCAUCUGGCCUAAUACUGACGCUGAGGUACGAAAGCAUGGGGAGCAAACAGGAUUAGAUACCCUGGUAGUCCAUGCCGUAAACGAUGUCUACUAG